rnacentral:rRNA from 1 species
UUAGAUACCCUACUAUACUAAUAGAAAACUAAAUUAUUAAUAGAUAUAUACUUUAAACUUGAAGAAUUUGGCGGUGGUUUAGUCUUGUUAGAGGAACCUGUUUUUGAAUCGAUAAACCACGCAGGAUUUCACUCAUAUUAAUUAGUUUGUAUACCGUCAUUAUCAGAUAAUUUUCAAAGAAAAAAUUAUUAAAGUUUAUCGGGAUUGGUAAGUAAAAUUAGAUCAAGGUGCAGCUUAUAAAUGAGUUAAAAUGGGUUACAAUAAAUUUUAUUUACUAUGGAAUAGUUGUGAGAAAAAGCAUUAAGAAGGUGGAUUUAAUUGUAAUGCGAGUUUAAUAAGCUUGGAAGAUAUUAGCUCUAAACCAUGUACAUAUCGCCCGUC